GUGUUGGCAAGGGAGGCCAUUUGCCGAACUUGGGAUGGUGAAUGUAUUUAGGAGGAAGAUGUGGAAACUUUGGAAGUGGUGGACACGGCUUCUUCGGAAUCACCACCGGUGGCACGUAGAUUGGUGGAUGCUCUAUCUUCGGCGGCGGCUUGUAGAUCGGGACUGGUGGUGGAAGCUCGAUCUUUGGGGGGCAUGCCUUCUUCGGUGGCGGCUUGUGAACGUGAACCGGCGGUGGGCAUGGCUUCUUAGGAGGUGAAUGCUCUAUCUUUGGUGGCGGCUUGUAAACGGGAACAGGAGGUGGGUGCUCUAUCUUCGGCGAUUUAGGAGGACAAGACUUCUUAGGAGCCGGUGGUGGAAGCUCCACCUUCGGGGGUGGAUCGUGAACCGGGACAGGUGGCGGAAGCUCUACCUUUGGUGGUGGUGGAACCUCCUCAGGGGGAGGUGGGCAAGGUUUCUUGAAUUUAGGAAACGGUGGAGGUAAAGGGAAAUGAUGUUCAAAUCCCUUAACAGGAGGGAACUUAGGCAUAGGCCAAAAGAAUUUGGAAACACAAAGUUCAGGUGUAAACCUCAGGUUUUGUUUGAGGCCCAAAACGUGUUUGUCUCCGGAUGUGUAUAGAAACACGAUCUUGUUUGACUCAAGGCCGUCGUGAGCCGGACAAGGUGCUCCCGC
rnacentral:lncRNA from 1 species